AUUGAACGCUGGCGGCAGGCCUAACACAUGCAAGUCGAACGAGUGGCGGACGGGUGAGUAAUGUCUGGGAAACUGCCUGAUGGAGGGGGAUAACUAAUGGAAACGGUAGCUAAUACCGCAUACCAUCAGAGGUGACCAGAUGGGAUUAGUAAGUUGGGGGGGAAACGGCUAACCAAGGGGACGAGCCCUAGCUGGUCUGAGAGGAUGACCAGCCACACUGGAACUGAGACACGGUCCAGACUCCUACGGGAGGCAGCAGUGGGGAAUAUUGCACAAUGGGCGCAAGCCUGAUGCAGCCAUGCCGCGUGUAUGAAGAAGGCCUUCGGGUUGUAAAGUACUUUCAGCGGGGAGGCGUUACCCGCAGAAGAAGCACCGGCUAACUCCGUGCCAGCAGCCGCGGUAAUUC
rnacentral:rRNA from 1 species